rnacentral:rRNA from 1 species
UGGGGAAUAUUGCACAAUGGGGGAAACCCUGAUGCAGCUACGCCGCGUGAACGAAGAAGGUUUUCGUAUCGUAAAGUUCUGUCCUAUGGGAAGAUAAUGACAGUACCAUAGAAGAAAGCUCCGGCUAAAUACGUGCCAGCAGCCGCGGUAAUACGUAUGGAGCGAGCGUUGUCCGGAAUUAUUGGGCGUAAAGGGUACGCAGGCGGUUUAAUAAGUCGAAUGUUAAAAAUCGGGGCUCAACCCCGUGAAGCAUUGGAAACUGAUAAACUUUAGUGGUGGGGAGGAAAGUGGGAUUCCUAGUGUAGUGGUGAAAUACGUAGAUAUUAGGGGGAAUACCAGUGGCGAAGGCGACUUUCUGGACACAAACUGACGCUGAGGUACGAAAGCGUGGGGAGCAAACAGG